GACAGAGGGUGCAAACGUUGUUCGGAAUUACUGGGCGUAAAGCGCGUGUAGGCUGCUCAGCAAGUCGGGUGUGAAAGCUCCGGGCUCAACUGGGGAGGGUCAUUCGAUACUGAUCGACUCGAAGGCAGGAGAGGGUAGUGGAAUUCCCGGUGUAGUGGUGAAAUGCGUAGAUAUCGGGAGGAACACCAGUGGCGAAGGCGACUACCUGGCCUGUUCUUGACGCUGAGGCGCGAAAGCUAGGGGAGCAAACGGG
rnacentral:rRNA from 1 species